rnacentral:rRNA from 1 species
GGAUCUAGUGGCGCACGGGUGAGUAACGCGUGGGAACCUACCUUUUAGUAUGGGACAACGUUUGGAAACGAACGCUAAUACCGUAUACGCCCUCCGGGGGAAAGGUCAGCCGCUGAAAGAGGGGCCCGCGUCUGAUUAGCUUGUUGGUAAGGUAAUGGCUUACCAAGGCUACGAUCAGUAGCUGGUCUGAGAGGAUGAUCAGCCACACUGGGACUGAGACACGGCCCAGACUCCUACGGGAGGCAGCAGUGGGGAAUAUUGGACAAUGGAGGCAACUCUGAUCCAGCAAUGUCGCGUGUGUGACGAAGGCCCUAGGGUUGUAAAGCACUUUCAACGGUGAAGAUGAUGACGGUAGCCGUAGAAGAAGCCCCGGCUAACUUCGUGCCAGCAGCCGCGGUAAUACGAAGGGGGCGAGCGUUAUUCGGAAUUAUUGGGCGUAAAGGGCUCGCAGGCUGCUUGAACAGUUAGACGUGAAAUCCCCGGGCUCAACCUGGGAACUGCGUUUAAUACUAGCAAGCUAGAGAAAUAGAGAGGAAAGUGGAACUCCCAGUGUAGAGGUGAAAUUCGUAGAUAUUGGGAAGAACACCAGUGGCGAAAGCGACUUUCUGGCUAUUUUCUGACGCUGAGGAGCGAAAGCGUGGGGAGCAAA